ensembl:misc_RNA Metazoa_SRP Metazoan signal recognition particle RNA
GCUGGGUCAUGCAGUGGUGGAUAUUUGUAAUCCAAGCUAAUUGGGAGGCUGAGGUAGGAGGAUCACUUGAGCCUACAAGUUCUGGGCUGUAGUGCAUUAUACUUGUGGGAUGUCUGCACUAAGUUUGACAUCAAUAUGGUGACCUUCUGAGAAUAAACGACCACUAGGUUGCCUAAGGAGGGGUGAACCAGCCCAGUUUGGAAAUGAAGUAGGUCAAAACUUCUGUGCUGAUCAGUAGUGUGAUUGUGCCUGUGAAUAGCCACUGCUUUCCAGCCUGGGCAACAUAAUGAGACCCCAUUCCU